rnacentral:tRNA from 1 species
NGGCAUUUGGUCUAGUGGUAUGAUUCUCGCUUUGGGUGUGAGAGGUCCCGAGUUCAAUUCUCGGAAUGGCCC